rnacentral:rRNA from 1 species
AUGGCCUGCUCCUGCCCGGAGUCCGGGUGCGCCUUCGUGGGCUCCCCGGCGAUGCUCCUCCAACAUUUCGCCAACAGCCACCAGCGCCCCGCCGUCACGGUCCGCUACGGCCUGUCCUCUAACCUCAGCUUUUCCCUGUCGCACCCCUGGCAUAUGCUCGUCGGAGAGGAGGACCGCAGCGUUUUCCUCGUGUCGCCGGGCCUGCUGGGCGCGGCUACGGCCGUGUCGCUGUUGUGCGUCAGGCCCGACGGCGAGGCCGAGGCGGCGCCCCGGUUCUGGUGCAAGCUGUCCGUGGGCCCCCCGGGCAACCACAUGGUCCUCAUGGCCUCACCGCUGAGCAGCAGCACGCUGGCCGCAGGCGCACCCGCGCCGUGGCAGGGGAUGUUCUUGGCGGUGCCCCAGGAGAUGCUCUCCGAUGACACGCUCACGCUCAGCGUCUGGAUCGAUCUGAUUCCACCUUCCGCCGGUGCUCCCAACGAAGUCGACUACACCACAGGCCAGGGCAUCGAGGAUGAUGCAGUCAAUUCCGACGACCCCGACUAUAUCAAGUUCAUGGAAGGGCCGAAGGAGCCCUCGAAGGCCAACUCAGAGAAGGAUGACGAGCACAAGGACGACAAUGAGGAGGAUGAGGAGGAGGAGGAGGAGGAUGACGACAACGAAGAUGGCGAGGAGGAGGUGGAGGAGGACGACGACAACCAGCUGACGACCAGUGUCAAGCGUCCUCGCCUAGAUGAUGGCCCGGAGGGGGCAUCGAAGAAGAAGAAGGACUAG